GUAAAGUUCUUUUGGAGGGGAAGAAUGGUUGUAUAGGAAAUGCCGAUGUGAUUGACAGUACCGGCAAAGAAACCACCCCUUAAUUCAUGCCAGCAGCCGCGAUAAUAA
rnacentral:rRNA from 1 species